CCCCAAUAGUUAGCCCCCCAGCUAGCUAGGAUCCGUGGACCUGGGUGUUAGGUCCUAGCUUACGGUAUGGUCUGUUCUAGGUGGAAUUAGACGUAAUCGUUUGUCGAAAGAUUGAAGGUGAAUAGUAAAAAUAAAUAAAUUGUAUAAGUAAGGGAAGUAAGUUAUUCAAAUUCUUUACUCACUUCUUCCCUUAAGAAAAGAUUCCUCCAAGAUAGAAAUUUUUUCUCCAAGACAUUCUCUUUGCUCAAAGAAAAUGUUUUCAAGAAAAGGAUCUUCAAAGAGGAAUUCUUCCUCACACUCAUCUUCGGGUGACUCUUCUGCCAAUGAGGUGAUCGCCCCGAAAGAAGAGUUUGAAGUUGAGGAAGAAGCAAAGGAUGCGUACUACAAAGCUCUUUGCGGCUCGCCUCUGCCUUCGCAAGACAUUCCGAUUCGUAAGAGGCCCGUGAGGUCGCCAAACGCAUCCUUCACGCCGAGCAUGGUCUCUGCCGACUACCUCACGACUCUCAGGGACUUUUACCAGAUUCCAAGUGGAGUCGUACUUCGGAUCCCGAGUGGCAACGAGAGUUCGAAGAACCCUCCGGAAGGUUUCUUUACUUGCUACGAGGCCUUCCUGGUGUAUUGCCGCAUGUGGUUUCCGAUCCCUGGUACCAUCGUCCGCGCGCUUCACCACUUUGGGCUUUCGAUCAGCCAGCUAAGCGUUCCGGCCUUGCAGCAUUGGCUCGGCGUGUUGAUCUCGAGUUACGAGCUAGGAAUGGAUCUUAACCCUGGUGACUUUGAGGGAUUUUGGUCUACGAGAGGAACGGGGAUCGAUGGCUCAUACCGCAUGGCGCCAAAGAAGGGCAUGGCUAUAAUUCAAGGGCACACUUCACAUCCUAAGACAUGGUUCGAGCGCUUUUUCUUUGUCUAGAUAGAUGGGAAGUCUGUCGAGGAGAGCUACCUCCACUUAUUCCGUCGGGAGUUGAACUUCACCCGUGGUAAUACGAAUAGCUAUGUUUUUCGUUUUGAUACCUUGAAAACAUACGAAGAUGAUUUUUUUUAUUAUCUUGCAGUGAACAGGAUCCUUCCGCCGACUCCUACCGAUCUUUUUGCCAAGCGCGAUCUUCUCCGCGGCAGGCCAUUCUUCUGGAAUUCCUUCACCGUUGAACGGAUUCAAAGCGCGGUGGAGCUCCAUCGAUCUCGAGCCGUCUCUCAGCCUCUUGACGUUCCGUAUGACAUAGAACCGGUCAUUGAUGUCUUGCCUGCUUAGAGGCAGAUAACCAGGUCUCGGAAAGGUAAGGGAGUUGCCUCUGAGAACGUCUUGGGAAACCCUCCGCUGCCAGAAAGGAACCCUAGUUUCUCCCCAGGGGAAAGGAGUGGAACCAGCGAGGUUCCCCCUCCCAGCAAAUUUUUUGCCGACCUCCCUCCCGUUUUACUACUCAUGAGUCACUGGACGAAGAGUCGAGGAGGAAAGUAGUCGCCGAAGGCUCCAGCUUAAUCAACGAGGGGAUGAGGGUGUUCAAUGCGGCGCUCGACGGAAGUUUCCGGGAGUCGCGUAUCUCUCACUUCAAAGCCGAGGAGGCUGAAAGAGAACUCAUUCGGUUUCGGAAGGAGGUCGAAGAACAGAGCCGGAGACAGGCUGAGCUCCAUUCUCGGGCCCUUGUCCGUGCGGAGAGGAGAGGAAAGAGAGCGAUUGUCGCCGAAAUGAAGCGGAGGGCUGCUUUGUUUGCCACCGAAUUCGAGAGCUUUAAGGAUGCUCAAGAAUUCAUGGGCGAUUUUCGUGAGUACCGUGGCUCGGUUGCUACCCUCUACAAGUCGCAGAACGAGGACUUCUCUUUUCCUUUCGAGGUCGCUGAGAUGUCGGGUCUUAUGAACGGGUGUGCCCAUGCCGAAUCCUUGGUUCCUCCGAUCGAAGGAAGGGUCCGACAGCUUUGGGAUUCCAUCGAGGUCUCGGAGGACAUGGUAGAAGCGGGAACCGGUGUUGGUGAUGAAGGUGCCGGAGUCGCGGACGGAGAGGUGGACCAGCCUGCGAGCUCGUUCGGGGUCUCCAUGUCUGGGUUCUUCGACUUUGAGCUUUGAGCAUUGUUGGGAUUAUUUCCCUUAGUUUUAUUUCGAGGUUUGAUGUAUCUAGGCCGAGUGUGGCCGUAUUUGAUUUAUGUGUGUUAUGGCCUUGCGAGGCUAUGUGAACUAUGUGUUUGAGACCGGCCGUUUGGUGGCUUUGGGUCCUAGCCGUUUUUUUGCGGCUUUUAUAUAUAUGAUGAAUGAUUGACAUUCUGUGCAUUUUAGUUUAUACUUCUGCCAAGUGUGAGGGAAAGAUACAAGUAGUCACUUCGUAUCUUAACUCUUAGUUUAUCGUCUUGUUCGUUUGCUCUUACUGAACGAGGGCGUUCGGAAACGUUUAGGAGUCUCGCGAAGUUUCAUGAGCGUAUUAGAUAUAGACGAUGGGACAUGUUUUUAAGAUCUCGUAUCAUGUCUUGAGAUGUUAGAGGACCAGUAGGACUGGGUUUAGGGAAAGACCUAGGUUUACUU